rnacentral:rRNA from 1 species
CACGGACUUCGGUCUGGUGGCGAGUGGCGAACGAGUGAGUAAUGCAUCGGAACGUGCCAUUGAGUGGGGGAUAACGUAGCGAAAGUUGCGCUAAUACCGCAUAUUCUGUGAGCAGGAAAGCAGGGGACCGCAAGGCCUUGCGCUCUUUGAGCGGCCGAUGUCAGAUUAGCUAGUUGGUGAGGUAAAGGCUUACCAAGGCGACGAUCUGUAGCGGGUCUGAGAGGAUGAUCCGCCACACUGGAACUGAGACACGGUCCAGACUCCUACGGGAGGCAGCAGUGGGGAAUUUUGGACAAUGGGGGCAACCCUGAUCCAGCCAUGCCGCGUGAGUGAAGAAGGCCUUCGGGUUGUAAAGCUCUUUCGGCCGGGAAGAAAUCGCAUGGGCCAAUACCCUGUGUGGAUGACGGUACCGGAAUAAGAAGCACCGGCUAACUACGUGCCAGCAGCCGCGGUAAUACGUAGGGUGCGAGCGUUAAUCGGAAUUACUGGGCGUAAAGCGUGCGCAGGCGGUUUUGUAAGACAGGCGUGAAAUCCCCGGGCUUAACCUGGGAACUGCGUUUGUGACUGCAAGGCUAGAGUACGGCAGAGGGGGGUGGAAUUCCACGUGUAGCAGUGAAAUGCGUAGAGAUGUGGAGGAACACCAAUGGCGAAGGCAGCCCCCUGGGUCGAUACUGACGCUCAUGCACGAAAGCGUGGGUAGCAAACAGGAUUAGAUACCCU